rnacentral:rRNA from 1 species
UGGGGAAUAUUGGACAAUGGGGGCAACCCUGAUCCAGCCAUGCCGCGUGAGUGAAGAAGGCCUUCGGGUUGUAAAGCUCUUUCAGAUGCGAAGAUGAUGACGGUAACAUCAGAAGAAGCCCCGGCUAAUUUCGUGCCAGCAGCCGCGGUAAUACGAAAGGGGCUAGCGUUGUUCGGAUUUACUGGGCGUAAAGGGCACGCAGGCGGUCUUGCCAGUCAGGGGUGAAAGCCCGGGGCUCAACCCCGGAACUGCCUCUGAUACUGCAAGACUAGAGACUAGGAGAGGGUGGUGGAAUUCCCAGUGUAGAGGUGAAAUUCGUAGAUAUUGGGAGGAACACCAGAGGCGAAGGCGGCCACCUGGACUAGAUCUGACGCUCAGGUGCGAAAGCGUGGGGAGCAAACAGG